rnacentral:lncRNA from 10 species
AGCAGAUCAUUCCAAAACUUAGCUGCUUAAAACAAUGCUAAAUACUACCUCACACAAUUUCUGUGAAACAGACAUUGAAUAGUGGCUUAGGUGGAUAAUUCUGGCUUGGGGUCUUUCUUGAAGUUACAGUCAAGGUGUUGUCCAGGGCAACAGUCAUCUGAGGGCUUGACUGGGGCUGAAAGAUCCCCUUUCAAGACAGUUUGCUUACAUUAUGCUUAUUGUCAGCAGGAAACCUCAGUUCCUCCUCAUGUGGGCCUCUCCACAGGCUGCUCGAGUACCCUCACAAGAUGGUGGCUGCCUUGCCUCAGAGGAAGAGACUGAAGAAAAUAAGAGUGUAUCGUGGCCACGCUGAGAUUCUUGUAUCUUCUCUUGGCAUGAUGUUUUCUUUUGGCUCCAGGACCUUGAAGAUGCCAUCCUGUUACCUGGAACACUCAGAUGUCCUCCCUCUCCUUCUCUGCUCAAAGCUUCCUGUGGCCCACUCUGUCAGCCUUCUUAUCCCAGCUGAGUCAUGGCUCUUUUUAGAAAACCUUCUCGGACUUCAAGCCAAGCUGUUAUUGGAAUUUGCCGCCUGUGUUCAAUGGUCAAUGAUCUCCAAGUCACUGCAAUUUAACGUUCACCCUACUGAUGACUCUGACCUUGGUUUGGUCGAGGACAGCAUUGCUGCAUCUAUACUGUCAUCCUUAUCCACCUAAGCUCUUCAGCAUUUGGCAUAAGCCAUGGGUGUCUUGAUGGGUGACUAAUGAAGCAGACUACACAGCAUUUCUCACCUGUUUUAUUACUGUAUCAUUUAUCCUCUCCCAGAUAUCUUUAGAUACUGUUCACCUAAUUUCUCCUCCAUCUCCCCAUUAGAAUUCUAAUAACCCAGAUACAUGUCCAUUUAUGCACUGUGGCCCUUUGGAGGAUCACAAACCAUUACAUAAUAUCUCAGAUUUUAUAUAAUCUUAGAUUAUGUGAAUCUUUUUUUUUUUUUUGCUCCAUAGGAACCAAUUUUUACCUCCUUGUGGGCACUAUCACCCCCAGUGAGAAUGCAUGCAAUAAAAUAAAACUCUAUUUGUCCUCUUGAGAGGGAUAAGAAAAAAAAAUAGUUCCCACUCUUUAAUAAAAGAAUGUGGAUUAUUUUCUGUAUAUUAUGAUGUUUUGAUAUGUUAAAAACCUUUCCACCUGGAAAGAGACUGCACCUCCCAGGGCUGGCCAAUCCUUAGAGACAGCAAAGGGCUCAGCUGGGAGUGUGCCUUUGAUACGCAAACUGCCCAACCCAGAGCCAUCUCUCCUCUAUGUGGCCCCUGCACUCCAGGACACAACAUUCCUCUGCCUUAGUCAACCAAAGGCCAGGUACCGGGCAAUUGGAGACAUCCUGUAGCUUAGGGCCUGCUGAAAUUAUUCAAACUAGCCAGUUCUAAACUGUUCAUCCUGCCCUGCCUUUCCCUGUGGAAACCCCAAUAAUGGCUGUGGCUAAAUCUUCCACUUGCUCCUGUCUUCUGCCUCCUGACUGCUUAUGUCUUCCUCUCACCCUCCAUAGCCAGUUGUCUCUAGGACCUGUGAGUAUAACAUACUUUGUUUUCCCG